GAAGCAUCGUACAUACCAGACGGCAAACUUGCUUGGCAUCUCAUCAUUCAUGUGGCUGCAACGAAGAGAUAACUGCAGCUUAUGUAUUAUACAUUACACGUUGCAAACGUUGGAGACAUUGACCUAAUUGGAAGCUACAUUGAUUAUUGCAGAUAGAUCCGCAAUGAAUUGAAAUUGACAGUUUUGAGGAUAAAGAAUGAUAAAAGGAGGUAAGGGGAAAAGGGAUUAGGUGUUUUCUUAAGCGUAACUUCCUCAUUUUCCUUCGAGUAAAUUCGAUGAAUACCAGAAAAAAUGAGGAUGAAAAAGGCGACUCUCACUUGCUUUUAUGAUCCUCUUUCUGUCUCUCAACAGAACUCUGAUUUUGGUUUGGCUUUUCUUUGGGGGAGGAGAGUCUAUAUGUAUAUAAAUGAGACUAAUAUAGUGUUUUAUAUUUUCUUUUAUCAAGG
rnacentral:lncRNA from 1 species